rnacentral:rRNA from 1 species
AUUGAACGCUGGCGGCAGGCCUAACACAUGCAAGUCGAACGAGUGGCGGACGGGUGAGUAAUGACUGGGAAACUGCCUGAUGGAGGGGGAUAACUACUGGAAACGGUAGCUAAUACCGCAUACCAUCAGAUGUGCCCCGAUGGGAUUAGCUAGUGGGUGGGGUAACGGCUCACCAAGGCGACGAUCCCUAGCUGGUCUGAGAGGAUGACCAGACACACGUGAACUGAGACAAGGUCCAGACUCCUACGGGAGGCAGAAGUGGGGAAUAUUGCACAAUGGGCGCACGCCUGAUGCAGCCAUGCCGAGUGUAUGAAGAAGGCCGUCGGGUUGUAAAGUACUUUCAGCGGGGAUGCGUUACCCGCAGAAGAAGCACCGGCUAACUCCGUGACAGACGCCGCGGUAAUAC